AGAGCGCUCCCGGCGGGACACGGCGCCUGUCCCGGGCGGUGCGGGGGGAUCGCUCCCGGUGAGGAGGAGUUCGAUCCUCCGGGAAGCCCCAGCCCCGCUCGGCUUCACGGUUGCUGGGGAGAUAGAAAGGAGUAAAUGCAGUGCCUUAUUACCCGUCAAAGAUUUCAACAUAGUCUGAUUUCUUUAACAAGAAUGUUAACAUAUUUGCCAGAUGAAAUUACACAAAAUACAGUCGCGAGAAGCUACUCAGCUGUUCAGCAGUCUGCCAAAUCACAGCAAAUAAUUCCAGGAGCUUGGGCAAAAAAAGGACCAAGAAUAAGAAGAGUCCUACCUACAGAAGAAAGUUUGAAAGUUUCAAGUUAAGGUCUUAAGGGA